rnacentral:rRNA from 1 species
GCCUGCCCUGUGACUAUAAGUUUAACGGCCGCGGUAUUCUGACCGUGCAAAGGUAGCGCAAUCACUUGUCUUUUAAAUGGAGACCUGUAUGAAUGGCACCACGAGGGCUUAGCUGUCUCCUUUCUCUAGUCAAUGAAAUUGAUCUCCCCGUGCAGAAGCGGGGCUGAACCCAUAAGACGAGAAGACCCUAUGGAGCUUUAGACACUAAGACAGACCACGUCAAACACCCCUGGAAUAAAGGACUGAACCGGGUGGACCCUGUCCUAAUGUCUUUGGUUGGGGCGACCGCGGGGAAACACAAAACCCCCAUGUGGAACGGAAGGACUACACACCUCCUACAACUCAGAGCCCCCGCUCUAAUUAACAGAAAUUCUGACCAACAAGAUCCGGCAAAGCCGAUCAACGGACCGAGUUACCCUAGGGAUAACAGCGCAAUCCCCUUUUAGAGUCCAUAUCGACAAGGGGGUUUACGACCUCGAUGUUGGAUCAGGACAUCCUAAUGGUGCAGCCGCUAUUAAGGGUUCGUUUGUUCAACGAUUAAAGUCCUACGUGAU